UGGUGACUGGGGCUGGGCUGUUAGCAGAGGAGAUGCUGAAACACGACCCCAUGACUGGUAUAGAACUGAAAGUAAAUCAAGCUGGACUUAUGAAGGAUUCCUCUCUCCAUUCGUGGAUGAAUUUGAGUGGCACUGGAACAAGAUUAUCUGAGUAGGCUGAACCAUCGGUGAAAAGGAGGCCAAGCAUCUCAAAAAUAGGACACGUGAGAGUAUGGAGCCAAUGUGACACUCAGAUUUGACACAUACAGAAGCGUGAAAAACUCUUGUGUGACUGGGAUAGCUCCUCUGCAAUGAGAACAUGCCUGGGAUAAUGUACUGAAAAGAUGUGAGAAAUACAUGAAGCAGAGUCCAGUCAUCCCAGCCAAGAACCAGCUGUGAAUGUAACCGCAUGACUUUGAGGCAAGUCCAGACCAAGAACAAAGAACCACUGGUCUUAAAGACAGACCUGCAGAUUCCUGAGCUAAAUAAAAGUUUAUUGUUGAAAGGCACUGAGUUGUUUUUG
rnacentral:lncRNA from 1 species